UACGUAUGGAGCAAGCGUUAUCCGGAUUUACUGGGCGUAAAGGGAGCGUAGACGGCAGUGCAAGUCCGGAGUGAAAGCCCGGGGCUCAACCCUGGGACUGCUCUGGAAACUGUAAAGCUGGAGUGCGGGAGGGGCAGGCGGAAUUCCUGGUGUAGCGGUGAAAUGCGUAGAUAUUAGGAGGAACACCAGUGGCGAAGGCGGCUUACUGGACUGUAACUGACGUUGAGGCUCGAAAGCGUGGGGAGCAAACAGG
rnacentral:rRNA from 1 species